AUCUCCCCCAGAUGCACCCUCCCUGGCGCUAGCACGCGUUCCCCUUUCUCCCUCCUCGCACGCAACCUCCUCGUCUCCAGCGCUCUCGCCUCUGCUCCACCACCCCGCGCCGCCACAUCCCACACGCCGACGUCGGCCUCGCCCCAGAAAUCCGCCCGCACCGCGGGUCGGCGGGUGUGGAAGAUGCUCAAAUUGAUCGCAAUCACCACCGGCGAAGAGGAUGAGGACAUCCUUGAUAUGUAGCCACGCAAGGUGGAUCCCUCGUCUCGUCGAAGCCGUGAGAAGAGGAGCCCAACCCGGACGACUUCCUCCCGUCCCCCGCGGAUGGUUCUGCUUCCAUUGAGACGCCCAGGCCUGACAGAUCUUGCUCGUCAUCAGCCCAGGGCCGGGUCGGCCGGAGCAGUCGGAGAGGAGUGGCGGAUGUGCGUCCUCUUAGAUGCCGUCGGUCAGAGAAGGGCGGGGAUGAUUGGAUUGCAGCGAGGGAGGAGGCCCGGCUCGGACAGUCCAUGGCGCUAGCGCAAUGGCUCGCCUCCUCUUCCGGCAUGGCUAUUGUUUUGGUCCGCGCCGUUUCUGCCUCGACGGACAUUAUCGUCGUAGGUACCGAUGAGGGACGAGCCGCCAGCGAUGGAUCCCGCGAGGCCAACCUCCAGCGCCCCUUCUCCAGCUGGCCUCGGACGACCUUCUCCCGCCGGAGCUCGGUGGGUCGAUGACCCGCUGGAUGGGAGCCGGCAUGUCCAGCCAUCACCUCUGGUGCCCCGUCGCGCACCUGCCCGCCGCCAGGUGCCCGAGGGCCAAGUUGCGGGGUUGUGCGGUCGCGCUGGUCAUCCCCCGUCCGCUCCAGGAAGCAUCUCGCCGGGGUUGGGGUCAAUCCCGGGUAGGCCUGAGGAGGAGAGAGGGCGGCCUCCAUCAGUCCUCUCCGGUGAGGCCUCGAGGGGCAAGAUGCUACCAAGUGCCAUUUGCUUCAGUGCAUUUUGUUCGAUGAAUCUGCAGUGCUAACAAAGAAGAUGGAAAAGGAAGGAAUAAUAGUAGGACAUGCAUGUGUUAUUUUCCAAGACUUGUUCGAGAUAAAGACCCAAUGAGUCGUCGGAAACUUCCCCUGUCUCUGCAGCAGCAUAUGAUUGUUCAGAGUGAGAGUUUGUCUGAAAAUUGUUCAAAAUGAGGCUCUAGCAUGCUGCACACGGUGUACCAAAGUUCCCUCGGAGCAAGAGCAAAUUUAACAAGGCAAUACAACAAAACGUGGAGCAGCUAAUGGACAUCCAAUCAGCUCUCAAGGCAUUCGAGGAGCGAGGAACAAUGGAUAUAUCGAAUAAAAAAUGUAACCAGCUUUCCCCGGGUGAAGAAUCCUCCACUAAUAAGGAGCCUCAGGUACAUCCUACUCAGAUGACAUAGGAGAGAUCUACAACCAGUUUUCCUUAGGUUCUUCUGUUGACAACAAGCCUGCACAACAACAUGCUCGCGCACACCGCAACCAUAGAGAUAUACCGCGACACAUACCAGGAGAGUUGUGCUUCAUGUAGCUAUUACAGCAGGAUAAUUGUAUGCUUGUGUUGAAGAAGAGGUUAUACCAACCGAGGCCAAGUGCACUGAACUUACCCAUGCCUCAUAUAGAUGGCUAUUCUAAAUUGGAUGCCCUUGUUUCCAGAUUUCUCUUCGUUUCCUGAUUUUGUUAAUUUUCAACUAUUUCACAUUGCCAUGCACGUUUGAGGCUCAAAUGUGGAGACCUCUCCUCCAGGGGACAACAUCACAAUGUAUUUUCAUAGAAUACUUAUACUUGGCAAGAAAGGCGGCAGCUGACGAAAGGAGGACACCACCAAGAUGAGCGAGACCGUGCCAACGGACUCAGGAUGAAAAGCACCGACCAACGGCGCAUCAUCCACAGAAGCGGCCAGCAUGGGGCUAAGCCUGCCAUUCCUCCGCGUCAAUGAACAACAGGACCUAAGAUAGCCGAGGUGCGCUCCUGCAAGAGAUGAGGGAGCAGCUGGUGGUCCGGAUGGCGAAGAUCAGGUCAACGUCGGCUGCUUUCCUGUGCCAUUGCCACAUUUCAGCUGAACAUGCUCGGACGGGCAUGGCGCCGGCGCCAUUUCUUCAUCUUCUCUGGAGCCACACCAUUUCUGCAGGAUAAGCGAGUUGGAGGAAGAUGGGAGAUGAGUCGCUUACUCACUGACAGAAAAUCAUUUGGGCAGAACCUCCUUUUCACGAGAGAUGAUUGAUUGUUUUUCCACCUUCGCUUUUGUGCCCCAUGUGUUGCUUGUGAACCACUGUUGUUUAUGUCGUCGGUCAUGUAAACUAUAAGGACAUAUUAAUAUAAUAUGACUCCUAAGCCACUUCCUUUUAACACUGUGAAGUACAUUCAGCAACGUGGAAAGGGCGCAUCCAACCUGGCACCGUCCAACUAUCUAUCAGGCGGCGCGCCGUGGCGCGCCCCAACCGCUAGUAGAGGAGUAAAGUCUUUGGAACGCUUGGAGGUCAACGUCUCCAUCACCCGUGCAGAUCGCGCAAGCUAGGACGCGGCCAACAGACUCUGCACCUGCUACUCGCCAGCCAUCUCUCC
rnacentral:rRNA from 1 species